GAUGAACGCUAGCUACAGGCUUAACACAUGCAAGUCGAGGGGCAGCAUGUCGGUUGCUUGCAACCGACGAUGGCGACCGGCGCACGGGUGAGUAACGCGUAUCCAACCUACCCUUGUCCAUCGGAUAACCCGUCGAAAGGCGGACUAACACGAUAUGCGGUUCUCAGCAGGCAUCUAACGAGAACGAAAUGUGAAGGAGAAGGAUGGCGAUGCGUCUGAUUAGCGUGUUGGCGGGGUAACGGCCCACCAAGGCGAAUAUCAGUAGGGGUUCUGUGAGGAAGGUCCCCCACAUUGGAACUGAGACACGGUCCAAACUGCUACGGGAGGCAGCGGUGAGGAAGAUUGGUCAAGGGACGAGAGUCUGAACCAGACAAGUAGCGGGCAGGAAGACGGCCCUAUGGGGUGUAAACUGCUUUUAUAGGGGGAUAAAGUGUGCCACGUGUAGCAUAUUGCAGGUACCCUAUGAAUAAGGACCGGGUAAUUCCGUGCCAGCCGCCGCAGUAAAAC
rnacentral:rRNA from 1 species